rnacentral:lncRNA from 1 species
GAAUUGGUCACGUUUAGUGAAAUGUACUUCUACACUUCACUUGUGUGGCAUACCAGUGUCUCCACACUCCUUGGUUAAGAGGACAACCAACGUAUAUGUCACACAACGACCUAAUCUCGAUAAUGUUGUCGUCCUAGUAACAACAUAUCAUUUCGUCGCAAACAAGUUUAAGGACUCAAAGAUAAAUCCUCCUUUAUCAUAACAUAAGUCCUAAGGACUUCAUCAUAUAAGAGUUCAUUUGAAGAUGAAAUGAUGAAUAAUGCCAAAUAACACUUUAUUAAUUUGUCAAUUCAUUU